UUUUUUACACUUUGAAGGACAAAGACUUUUGAUCAAUAAAGAGUGUGACCUUGGAAGAAGAAGGAAGAAAGGCACAGAGAAAUAUAUUCCAAUAUUUAAUUGAUAAUCAUCAACUGGGUGCUCAGCAGGAACAAAACAACUCAUCCAUCACUUUUCUUGCAGCUUAAAUUUGGUGGAUAGAGGAGGAAAAUAGAAAAUACAUAAAAGUCAGGGUGUCUUAGUGAUACAUGCUAUGUAUCACUAAGACAGACUGGUGGGGUGAAAGUGUUGGGACUGGGGAGUUAGGAGCUGCAAUUUUAAGUGAAAUUGUUUCUGAGGUGGAUGCUACAGAAAAACAUGUUAGGGUAGAGAGGGCCUCAGAAGCUGAAGAAUUAAGAGUAGUGGAUAGAAGAAAAAGACUGGUCUUAUCCAGAUGACCCAGGCCCUGUAGAUCGGUCAAGUACUUGGCUUUUACUUCUGGGAGAUGGAAGCUCCUGGAAGGCUUUGAGAACAGCAGCUGAUGCUGUGACUGACCUAUCCACCAUUGUGAUACAUAGUCACAUAAACAGCCUGAUAAUUCCUUGUGAAAUACCAUGUAAUAUAUGUGUUAUGAUCAUCAUUUUGUAGAAGAAGACUUAAAUGGAUUCUAUCUAAGGUCAAAUAUGUGGUAAGUAAGAAAGCCAGGGACAUUAUGAAUUUUUCCUAUGUCCCAACAUUGUCCUCUUUAAAAUUGGGGGAAAGAUAGCCAUAAGACUUAUGCAAUUGUGAAAAUUAAAUAAAAGUUUAAAUGCAGAACCAACGGACAAAAGUACUUUAAGAAUUCAGUAAAUAUUAUUUUUUGUUGUUCCACAGUCAUAUACACAAUAACAGAGUCAAUACAUAGAAAGAAGAUCUACUCCAUCUUUGGAGACUUCAAAAUAGGCGGCACAUCCUGCACUUCAGAGAUUGUAGUGCCCGCUCCUCUGGAUUUAGUUUCUUUAUCUACAUAUGGACACUGUAAGCCUGCUCUCACAGGCAUAUUUCACAUGUGACCUUCUUCACUAAUUCUGAGAUAUUCUAGAUGAUUGUUACAUAACCUCCUUAUGCAUAAGUAUGCUUUCUUAUGAAAUGGAAAUCAAGCAAACUCCAAAAUGAUACAUCUGGUACCAUUUUGAAUAUACCAAAGAGCUCAAAACAGUAGUCAGAGUAAGGACUUAAAGAAAUUUUACUGAAAUGUUAACAGAGAUAUCUUUCAUAAUGAAGAAAAAAUUGCUUUCUUACAAGGAAUUCUCUUAUUUCUAGUGAAUGCAUCUGAAGAGUAGCUGUGUACACUCAUACUUUUAUCAGUUAACCUCCUACCUAGCCAAUACUUUAGUAUGAAACCAGCAAUGAAACACAGGGCUAAGGAAUAUGCUUCUAGGGAGAAGAGUAAAUGAAAGAAAAUAUACAUAAAAGAAGAGGAGGAGGUUGAAGAGAAGUUGAGAAAUGCUACAAAACUUUGGCUUUAACUUCACACCUGGAGCCAAGAAUAUCCAGUUACAUGACUUGUCCUGAAUAGGCAUGUCCAGGAGCCCCUUUUGGCAGAUCACUCUGGUGCCACCACAUGCUGGUAAUUUCAAAGACCAUAAUUAAAUAUUCAUUAGUGCCACAAAUUAUUUCCUUUGUUUCCAUCCCAAAGAGAAACAUAGCUUUAAUACACUCAAAUAUUUACCCAAGUUUAUACUUCAUUUACACAACCAGUUCUAGGGAAAAGACAACCUUCCCUUCUUUGUAGAUCUGCUCUCAUUCAGUGAUGUCUGUGGUGAUUUAUUUCUAUAAUCAAUCACUGCUCACAAAAUGAGGCACUAAAGGGAGUUCUCUUGGGUUUUGAGCUACUGCAUUUGGUCACUUGACCUUGAGUUGUCUACAGGGUUGGUGAUUUCAGCUGGAUGUCUGCCUUAGUCUUGCUGACUUCUCCAGCACUGUGACUGUAUUGUAGACCAAACUAUAUUUGCCUUGACCAGACAAACUCCAUUUUACUCUGAGGCUGCAUUUAAUAUAAGGUAUACUUUUCCCAUAUGAAAUCUACACUCUGUAAUCCACCUCCUGCUAAGCACACUCUUUUUGGCAAUGUGGAGUGGCUAAAAAUGUUUCAUUUAUUCUGAUACAAUGUACUAAUAAGAAAUAAUUCUGUAAUAUGUUCACUUUAUGGUUCUCAUUUUUCUUGGGCAAUAUACCCUUACUGUACCCUAAACAGGGUCAUUCUAACCCACUUCCUACAUUGCUAUGAUUUUGACUUACUGGUAGCUUGCUGUUUGGAGCUAUGAAAAAGGAACCUACCUUCUUUAAAGUGUCAAAGGGUGCAGAAUUGACUUGGUUGCUGCUGCUUAGCCUCCUGGUGAUUAAAGUUUCAAGCAGUGCUUCAACAUAGACCUGGUGUGUCUCCUAUGUUUCUAGGCCUCUUAUUUUUUUAAAAAAAAAUUUCACAGCUGUUUUUUUGUUCUAUUUGUAUCAAUGACAAAAUUGGAAUUUUAAUAGGAAUUGUGUUAAGUAUGUAUAAUGCUUUUGGUAGUUUGUACAUUUUGACAAUACUAAUUCUGCCUAACUUUGAACAUGGGAUGUCUUUACAACUUCUAAGGUCUUCAUCAAUUUCUUUCUUUGGUGUUCUGUAGUUUUCAUUCUAGAGGUCUUUCACCACUUUGUUAAAUUUAUCCCCAAAUAUAUUAUUUUCUUUCAGGCUAUUGUGAAAGGGGAUAGUUUUCCCAAUUUCUCUUUCAGUUGAUUCAUCACUGAUGUAAAGAAACACAAUUUAUGCAUGUAAAUUUUAUAUCCUUCUAUGUUGUCAAAUUUAUUUAUGAAUUCUAGAAGUUUUCUAGUGGAAGUCUGGGGUCUUUAAAAUACUGAAUCAUGUCAUCAGCAAUAAGAAUGAAUAGUUUGAGUUCUUUUAAUCCUAUUUAUAUUCAUUUACUUUCUUUCUUCUCUCUAAUUUCUCUGGCUAGAAUCUCCAAGAUUAUGUUGAAUAGGAAUGGUAAAUGAGAGCAUUCCUGUCUUGUUCCAAGAUUAGAGGAAAUGCUUUCAUGUCUUCUCCAUUUAGAAUGCUGUUGACCUUUAGUGUAUAUAGCUUUUACAAUGUUGAGGUAUGUUCCUACUACCCCUAGUUUUUCUGGUGAACAUGCUGGGGAUUUAUUCUUGAAGACAUACAUAAGUUCCUUAAAAGUAAUUUAAAUAAAUUGAAUUUUUUCUGAGAUAUUAUGUUGUUGAUGUCUAUUGAUGUGGGGACAAGUGCAUGGAGUACUCCAUACAUGGUGUACAUUAAGGGCGUCUGAGUAGCAAACCACUUCCCUGUGCUAGGCUUGUGAGUGGCAAACCGCUUACCCCCUAGGCACAGCCCUGGGCAUGAGGCCAUGUGUUGCAGUCCCUGAGCUUGCUCCACGGCC
rnacentral:lncRNA from 1 species